GACGAACGCUGGCGGCGUGCUUAACACAUGCAAGUCGAACGGAAAGGCCCUGCUUUUGUGGGGUGCUCGAGUGGCGAACGGGUGAGUAACACGUGAGUAACCUGCCCUUGACUUUGGGAUAACUUCAGGAAACUGGGGCUAAUACCGGAUAGGAGCUCCUGCUGCAUGGUGGGGGUUGGAAAGUUUCGGCGGUUGGGGAUGGACUCGCGGCUUAUCAGCUUGUUGGUGGGGUAGUGGCUUACCAAGGCUUGGACGGGUAGCCGGCCUGAGAGGGUGACCGGCCACAUGGGGACUGCGAUACGGCCCAGACGCCUACGGGAGGCAGCAGUGGGGAAUAUUGCACAAUGGGCGGAAGCCUGAGGCAGCGACGCCGCGUGCGGGAUGACGGCCUUCGGGUUGUAAACCGCUUUCGCCUGUGACGAAGCGUGAGUGACGGUAAUGGGUAAAGAAGCACCGGCUAACUACGUG
rnacentral:rRNA from 1 species